AAGUAAACCAAAUGAGGAUGAAACAGCUUUACCUCUGGACGCAUCGUAGUAUGUAUUGAAAUGGGACCUGUAAGAACAAAGUGCAUUCUCAACAGAUGAAAAAACGCUCACUCUAAAUCUUGCUGGCUUUCCAUCACAUCAGAUUGACCGAGACACCCUGAUUCCUUGUCUUUAUUUGUUUUCUGCAGAAUUCUCCUCUCUCUUUUGGUUCAAGUUCAACUGGUAAAAAGCUUUUCACUGCUAGGGGUCCCAGCAAUCCAAACCAGAUGCCCAGCCUCCCAAUCUAAUGCAUGAGGAGAGGGGCUCUCUGAAACACCAGCACAGACUAGGUAAGAAAUACCCUGAAAGCAGCCCUGUGGAGAAGGACUUGGGGGUACUGGUUGAUGAGAAGCUCAACAUGAGCCAGCAAUAUGCGCUUGCAACCCAGAAAUCCAACUGUAUCCUGGGCUGUAUCAAAAGCAGGGCAAUGUGGAAAAAAAAAAAAAAAAGAAAAAAAAAAAGAAAAAGAAAAGGAAAAGGCCUUAACACUGUGCAAGGCCUUCUCAGCAAUAACUAAAACAUUGGAGUGAAGCCAGGAUUGCUCUGAUAGCAUUCUUCAUGAUCCAGCACAACUGAGUGCUCUCGCAAGAUCAGGUUCAUUUCUUC